AACGAACGCUGGCGGCAGGCUUAACACAUGCAAGUCGAACGCCCCGCAAGGGGAGUGGCAGACGGGUGAGUAACGCGUGGGAAUCUACCCAGUUCUACGGAACAACAGUUGGAAACGACUGCUAAUACCGUAUACGCCCUACGGGGGAAAGAUUUAUCGGAAUUGGAUGAGCCCGCGUAAGAUUAGCUAGUUGGUGGGGUAAUGGCCUACCAAGGCGACGAUCUUUAGCUGGUCUGAGAGGAUGAUCAGCCACACUGGGACGGAGACACGGCCCAGACUCCUACGGGAGGCAGCAGUGGGGAAUAUUGGACAAUGGGCGCAAGCCUGAUCCAGCCAUGCCGCGUGAGUGAUGAAGGCCUUAGGGUUGUAAAGCUCUUUCACCGAUGAAGAUAAUGACGGUAGUCGGAGAAGAAGCCCCGGCUAACUUCGUGCCAGCCGCCGCCGUAACAC
rnacentral:rRNA from 1 species